UUAAAUAUUUAAGGGCUUAUGUUGGAUUCUUUGGAACUUAUAGGCGAUGAAGGGCGUAGUUACUGACGAUAUACUUUGAGGAGCUAGAAACAAGCUUUGAUUCAAAGGUCCCCUAAUGGGAAAACCCUUUUAAACUUUUAUAGAAUUUAUUUAUAAAAUGUGGCAAACUUGGUGAACUGAAACAUCUUAGUAACCAAAGGAAAAGAAAGCAAAUGCGAUUUUCUGAUUAGUGGUGAGCUAAAAGAAAAAUAGCCUAAACCUUUUUAGGGGUUGUGGGAAAACUUAAUAUAAUAUUUUUUUUCUAUGAAAUUGUUGAAUACAAUGCAAAAUAAGGUUGAAAGCCCUGUAGUAGUAAAGUUAUGUAUUAUUUGUUUUAUCCCGAGUAGUAUAGAACACGUGAGAUUUUAUGUGAAUCAACGAGAACCAUCUCGUAAGGCUAAAUACUAAUAAGUUACCGAUAGUGAACUAGUACUGUGAAGGAAAUGUGAAAAGAACCCUGAUAAGGGAGUGAAAUAGAUUAUGAAAGCAUAAGCUUACAUGCAGUAGGAGGUCUCUUAAAAGUCUGACUGCGUGCCUGUUGAAGAAUGAGCCGGCGACUUAUAAUUAGUGGCUUGGUUAAAAUUUUUUAAAUUGAAGCCAUAGCGAAAGCGAGUUUUAAUAGAGCGUUGUUGUCACUAAUUAUAGACCCGAACCCAAGUGAUCUAACCAUGACCAGGAUGAAGCAGGAGUAAAAUUUUGUGGAGGUCCGAACCCACUAAUGUUGAAAAAUUAGGGGAUGAGUUGUGGUUAGCGGAGAAAUUCUAAUCGAACUUGGAGCUAGCUGGAUCUCUUCGAAAUGCGUUGAGGCGCAGCGACUAAUUAUGAACUAUUCAGGGGUAAAGCACUGUUUCGAUGAGGGCUACGAAAGUGGUACCAAGUUGUGGCAAACUAAGAAUACUGAAUAAUGUUAUUCAAUUGGUUAGUGAGACUGUGGGGGAUAAGCUUCAUAGUCAAAAGGGUAAUAGCCCAGAUCACCAGUUAAGGCCCCUAAAUAAUUGCUAAGUGACAAAGGAUGUAUUGAUGCGUAGACAACCAGGAGGUUUGCUUAGAAGCAGCAAUCCUUUAAAAAGUGCGUAAUAGCUUACUGGUCAAGUGCCUUUGCGCCUAUAAUGUACGGGACUAAGUAAUUUGCCGAAACUGUGAGUUAAAUCGGUAGAAGAGCGUUCUGAUUGGUUUGAAGUAAUAACGAAAGUAAUUAUGGACUUUUCAGAAGUGAGAAUGUCGGCUUAAGUAACGAAAACAUUGGUGGGAAUCCAAUGCUCCGAAAACCUAAGGUUUCCUUUGCAAGGUUCGUCCACGAAGGGUUAGUCAGGUUCUAAAAAGAGGCCGAACGGCGUAUUUGAUGAAUAGCAGGUUAAUAUUCCUGCACUACAUUAAGUUUGAUUAAGAGGGACGAAGAAGGCUAAGUUAGCCAAAGAUUGGUUGUUUUGGUUUAAACUUUCGAGAUGUUGAGAAACUUAAUUAAAAAAUGUUUUGAGUUGAGAAGUGAAUACGAAGAUACUAAGGUAUUGAAGUAACUUAUGUCAUGCUUUCUAGAAAAUCUAUUGUAAUCGUCAAUUUAAUGUACCUGUACCGUAAACUGACACAGGUAGGUAGGUAGAGUAUACCAAGGAGCGCGAGAGAACUCUUUUUAAGGAACUCGGCAAAAUAGCCUUGUAACUUCGGGAGAAAAGGUGCCUUAAUAAAAUAAUUAAGGUCGCAGCGAUCAGAUCCAGGCGACUGUUUACCAAAAACACAGGUCUCCGCUAAGUUGAAAAACGAUGUAUGGGGGCUGACGCCUGCCCAGUGCUGGAAGGUUAAAAAAAUUGGUUAGCAUUAGCGAAGCUAGUAAUUGAAGCCCCAGUGAACGGCAGCAGUAAAUAUAACUGUUCUAAGGUAGCGAAAUUCCUUGUCGGGUAAGUUCCGACCUGCACGAAAGGCGUAACGAUCUGGAAACUGUCUCAAAAAGAGACUCGGUGAAAUAGAAUUAACUGUGAAGAUGCGGUUAACUUGCACUUGGACAGAAAGACCCUAUGAAGCUUUACUGUAACUUGAUAUUGUUUUCGGACUUUUUUUGCGCAGCAUAGGUGGGAGGCUUAGAUUCUUUUUUUCGGAAAAUGAGGAGCCAUAAAUGAGAUACCACUCUAAAAAAGUUAGAAAUCUAAUGAUGUUUCUUUAUCAGAACAUUUGACAGUGUCAGGCGGGCAGUUUUACUGGGGCGGUAGCCUCCCAAAAGGUAACGGAGGCGUACAAAGGUUUUCUCAGACUGUAUGGAAAUUUGUUUUAGCGUGUAAAGGCAUAAGAAAGCUUAACUGUUAGACUAACAUGUCAAGCAGAGACGAAAGUCGGUCUUAGUGAUCCGACGAUACUGAAUGUAAAGGUCGUCGCUUAACGGAUAAAAGUUACUCUAGGGAUAACAGGCUGAUCUCCUCCAAGAGUUCACAUCGACGAGGAGGUUUGGCACCUCGAUGUCGGCUCAUCGCAACCUGGAGCGGUAGUACGUUCCAAGGGUUGGGCUGUUCGCCCAUUAAAGCGGUACGUGAGCUGGGUUCAGAACGUCGAGAGACAGUUCGGUCCAUAUCCGGUGUAAGCGUUAGAGUAUUGAAAGGAUCUUUUUCUAGUACGAGAGGACCGAAAAAGACACACCUCUGGUGUACCAGUUCUUAUGCCAAUAGGAAAUGCUGGGUAGUCAAGUGUGGAGUGAAUAACUGCUGAAAGCAUAUAAGUAGGAAGUCCACCUUAAGAUGAGUACUCUUCUAAUUUUAGUAAGGUCACAACUAGACUAGUUGUUAAUAGGUACUAAGUGUAUAUUUAGUAAUAAAUGUAGCUGAGGUAUACUAAUAGAUCGAUAGUUUUAUCUUA
rnacentral:rRNA from 1 species